CAGCAGAAAGCCCUUCCCAACCGCUGCCCUGACAGCAGCAGAAAGCCCUUCCCAACCGCUGCCCUGACAGCAGCAGAAAGCCCUUCCCAACCACUGCCCUGACAGCAGCAGAAAGCCCUUCCCAACAGACAGACAGCACACUACUACAUUGCUAAACAGAGCGGUGCUAUAUAAAACUCCAAAGCAGCUUUCAUUUGGGCAGUGUUCCCAGUUGGCUUGCUGUUGUGACCUCACACUGCUGUGUUUUAUAGCACACUACCACAGUGACCUCCUGACCCUGACACAGUGACCCCCGACCUCGGACCAGACAGUAUUGUAACACAGACGUAGCAUUAAAACACAUAGGCCUAUGUAACGUGUGUAACAUGUAUGUGCUCUGCUGUAGGAGCACACUAUCCUGUAGUGUUCUUAGCCUCCCCCCUCAAGAUUCAGAAAUGGCACCCUAUUCCCAACAUAGGCCACUACUUUCUUUUGAUAUGCGGGAGACCUGAGUUAGAACCACCGCGUGUCGCAGAACCCUCGGUCUGUUGCCAUGGCGAUGCCUUUUGAUAUGCGGGAGACCUGAGUUAGAACCACCGCGUGUCGCAGAACCCUCGGUCUGUUGCCAUGACGAUGCCUUUUGAUAUGCGGGAGACCUGAGUUAGAAUCACCACUUGUCGCAGAACCCUCGGUCUGUUGCCAUGGCGAUGCCUUUUGAUAUGAGGGAGACCUGAGUUAGAAUCACCACUUGUCGCAGAACCCUUGGUCUGUUGCUAUGGCGAUGCCCUGAAUAAGCUAGGGGACUAAACCCGUCCCUCCUUCCCUCCACCGCUCACUAGAAAAGACUUGUCUUCUCUAUUAUGUCUUGUUGCUUCUUCUCCUUGGUCUCGUUAAACCAGUGUUCCUGAUUCAUGUGGUCAAUAUGUUGUUGUUGGGAUUCUGAUUUGUUAUCAUUAUUCUAUUUCAGUAUUGCUCUUUAAUGAUGAGUCAGUUUGUGAAUGAACUGGCUGACAACAGAUGUACAAACAGAACCAAUCACUUUAGACUAGGAGCCGUACGCAGACCAAUCACACGUCAGAAUAGGAGACGUACGGUUGAUCACCAGUUUGGGAUGGUAUAGACUGCUCUUAAUGCUGCAGUCUGUAAUUUAGCUCGUCCCCUGUGGUCACAGGACGAAAUGCACAAACAAUCAACACUCAAAACAAACUCAUUAAGCCAAUCGAUGCAUAGACUCGUGAAGACCCUCUGUUUACAAACAAUUGUUGGUGUCAGUAGGGAGUAGGACUAACAGUGUUCUACUGCCACAGACCGACUGGUGUUCUCCAGUCCUUAUAACGGACGGUUAUUACACUUCAUAGACAGGUCAUAGAGGUGUCAUAGACAGGUCAUAGAGGUGUCAUAGACGGGUCAUAGAGGUGUCAUAGACAGGUCAUAGAGGUGUCAUAGACCGUUCAUAGACAGGUCAUAGAGAGGUUAUAGACAGGUCAUAGACUGUCACAGCAGUGUCAUAGACAGCUCAUAGAGGUGUCAUAGACAGGUCAUAGAGUUGUCAUCGAUAGAGCUACCAUACAUUUCUGUCAGAUCUGUAUUAUGUAUCUCAUAGAUCAGACAGACAUGUUUUAGAACAUAUAGACAGGUUAACAUGUUAUAGAACUAUAAAAGACUUGUUAUGAACACUGGUCUACGGCACUGAGAGUCUGUCUCUACUGCCACAACACCAGACCUGUUAUACCAUGAUAUAAGUAUGUUAUGAACAUGUUAUGAACAUAUUAUAGAUGUUUAAUAAGGGUAGUCAGUCUCUCUACUGCCACAACACCAGACCUGUUAUACCAUGAUAUUAGUAUGUUAUAAACAUGUUAUGAACAUAUUAUCGAUGUUUAAUAAGGGUAGUAGUGUCUCUCGACUGCCACAACACCAGACCUGUUAUACCAUGAUAUAAGUAUGUUAUGAACAUGUU
rnacentral:lncRNA from 1 species